rnacentral:tRNA from 1 species
GGGCCUCUAGCUCAACCGGCAGAGCAGCGGACUUUUAAUCCGCGGGUUGUGGGUUCGAGCCCCACGGGGCCCA